rnacentral:pre_miRNA from 1 species
UCAUUCGGAUUCACCAUCAUACGUCCAACCGUGCAUUUGAUAUGCAUAUAUAUGCAUCACGAGCAACGGCUGGGCUGUAUGAUGGCGAUACCGAUUGG